rnacentral:rRNA from 1 species
GGUGAUAACGAGGAGGCUUGCCUCCGAAGUGAGUGAUACCCAGCUUCCAGGAAAAGCCACUAAGCUUCAGCUGCACACGACCGUACCGCAAACCGACACUGGUGCGCGAGAUGAGUAUUCUCAGGCGCUUGAGAGAACUCGGGAGAAGGAACUCGGCAAAUUGACACCGUAACUUCGGAAGAAGGUGUGCCUUUAGUAGGUGAACCUGUACAGGGGGAGCCCAAUGAGGUUGUAAAGAAUCGGUGGCUGCGACUGUUUAAUAAAAACACAGCACUCUGCAAACACGAAAGUGGACGUAUAGGGUGUGACGCCUGCCCGGUGCUGGAAGAUUAAGUGAUGGGGUGCAAGCUCUUGAUCGAAGUCCCAGUAAACGGCGGCCGUAACGAUAACGGUCCUAAGGUAGCGAAAUUCCUUGUCGGGUAAGUUCCGACCUGCACGAAUGGCGUAACGAUGGCCACACUGUCUCCUCCCGAGACUCAGCGAAGUUGAAAUGUUUGUGAUGAUGCAAUCUCCCCGCGGAAAGACGGAAAGACCCCAUGAACCUUUACUGUAGCUUUGUAUUGGACUUUGAACGGAUCUGUGUAGGAUAGGUGGGAGGCUUUGAAGCAGGGUCGCUAGAUCUUGUGGAGCCAACGUUGAAAUACCACCCUGGUGCGUUUGAGGUUCUAACCUAGGCCCGUUAUCCGGGUCGGGGACAGUGCAUGGUAGGCAGUUUGACUGGGGCGGUCUCCUCCCAAAGCGUAACGGAGGAGUUCGAAGGUACGCUAGUUACGGUCGGACAUCGUGACGAUAGUGCAAUGGCAUAAGCGUGCUUAACUGCGAGACUGACAAGUCGAGCAGAUACGAAAGCAGGACAUAGUGAUCCGGUGGUUCUGUAUGGAAGGGCCAUCGCUCAACGGAUAAAAGGUACUCUGGGGAUAACAGGCUGAUACCGCCCAAGAGUUCAUAUCGACGGCGGUGUUUGGCACCUCGAUGUCGGCUCAUCUCAUCCUGGGGCUGUAGCCGGUCCCAAGGGUAUGGCUGUUCGCCAUUUAAGGAGGUACGUGAGCUGGGUUUAAAACGUCGUGAGACAGUUUGGUCCCUAUCUUCCGUGGGCGCUGCAGAUUUGAGGAAGCCUGCUCCUAGUACGAGAGGACCGGAGUGGACGCACCUCUGGUGUACCUGUUGUCACGCCAGUGGCAUUGCAGGGUAGCUAAGUGCGGAAGAGAUAACCGCUGAAAGCAUCUAAGCGGGAAACUCGUUUCAAGAUGAGAUCUGCCGGGGCCUUGAGCCCCCUGAAGAGUCGUUCUAGACCAGGACGUUGAUAGGCUGGGUGUGGAAGCGCAGUAAUGCGUUAAGCUAACCAGUACUAAUUGCUCGUGCGGCUUGACCCU